UACGGGGGGGGCAAGCGUUGUUCGGAAUUACUGGGCGUAAAGGGCUCGUAGGCGGCCAACUAAGUCAGACGUGAAAUCCCUCGGCUUAACCGGGGAACUGCGUCUGAUACUGGAUGGCUAGAGGUUGGGAGAGGGAUGCGGAAUUCCAGGUGUAGCGGUGAAAUGCGUAGAUAUCUGGAGGAACACCGGUGGCGAAGGCGGCAUCCUGGACCGACAUUGACGCUGAGGAGCGAAAGCUAGGGGAGCAAACGGG
rnacentral:rRNA from 1 species